rnacentral:rRNA from 1 species
ACAAUUGUAACUCCUGGUGGAGAUGACGUAUCGUAUCAAAUUCCUUUGACUGUAACUGUCGUCUAUGAUGGCACUACAUAUCAGAAUGUUUAUGCGACUACCAACUCAGUCAUUACAUUUGGUAACCCUGAUGGCACAUACUGGGACUAUCCAGUAACUCCAUCUAUCUCUAUUGAAUCACGUGACUGGUGGGCUUUGCCACAACAGAUGCCUGAUACUCACUUCAUUAUCAAUGUAAGUGAUGGUGGGUUUCAAGUUGAUGGUGCAUACCGUCCAUAUGGAAUGAUGACUGGUGACAUCACUAGCAUUAUCAUUACUGCACAGAUUCAAACAGAUGGCACUGUUGCAUACUCUUACGCAACUAAUGGACCAUUACAAGGUAAUGAACGCACAGGUGCAAGACUUACAGAUGGAACUAUUGUUUCUUUGGAAGAAGCAGGUGUAACACAGGUAGAAGUUCCUCCAGUAUUGGAGCCAGAACCAGUACCACCUACACCUGAACCAACUCCAGAACCAACUCCUACACCUCAGCCAACACCUGAACCAACACCUGAACCUGCGCCUGAGCCACAACCUGAGCCACGCCCACGUCCAGUAAUUGAUAUUGCACCAGAGAUAUUACCUCCAGCGGAGGAACCACCUGCAGUGGUAGAACCACCACCUGCGGAAGUUCCACCUGCUGAAGAACCUCCUACGCGAAGAACCUUACCUGGACUCGAAAACGGCCGAACCUGUCUGAAAGGAUGGGGUGCCCGCAAGGGAGCGGUUGUCAGGUGCUGCAUGGCUGUCGUCAGCUCGUGUCGUGAGAUGUUGGGUUAAGUCCCGCAACGAGCGCAACCCCUGCUACUAGUUGCCAUCAUUGAGUUGGGCACUCUAGUGGGACUGCCGACGUGAAGUCGGAGGAAGGUGGGGACGACGUCAAGUCAUCAUGGCCCUUAUGCCCAGGGCUACACACGUACUACAAUGGUAGGUACAAAGGGCAGCGAACCCGCGAGGGGGAGCAAAUCCCAAAAAACCUGCCUCAGUACAGAUAUGAGUCUGCAACUCGACUCAUUGAAGUUGGAAUCGCUAGUAAUCGCUGAUCAGCAGGCAGCGGUGAAUACGUUCCCGGGCCUUGUACACACCGCCCGUCACACCAUGGGAGUCGUUUGCUCCAGAAGUGGCUGCACCAACCGCAAGGAGGUAGGUCCCCAAGGAGUGAACGGUAACUGGGGUGAAGUCGUAACAAGGUAGCCGUAGGGGAACCUGCGGCUG